AUGCUCAAAAUUCUCCAAGCCAGGCUUAAGCAAUACGUGAACCGUGAACUUCCUGAUAUUCAAGCUGGUUUUAGAAAAGGCACAGGAACCAGAGAUCAAAUUGUUAACAUCCUCUGGAUCAUGGAAAAAGCAAGAGAGUUCCAGAAAUACAUCUAUUUCUGCUUUAUUGACUACACCAAAGCCUUUGACUGUGUGGAUCAUAAUAAACUGUGGAAAAUUCUGAGAGAGAUGGGAAUACCAGACCACCUGACCUGUCUCUUGAGAAAUCUGUAUACAGGUCAGGAAGCAACAGGUAGAACUGGACAUGGAACAACAGACUGGUUCCAAAUAGGAAAAGGAGGACGUCAAGGCUGUAUAUUCUCACCCUGCUUACUUAACUUAUAUGCAGAAUACAUCAUGAGAAAUGCUGGACUGGAAGAAACACAAGCUGGAAUCAAGAUUGCCGGGAGAAAUAUCAAUAACCUCAGAUAUGCAGACGACACCACCCUUAUGGCAGAAAGUGAAGAGGAACUAAAAAGCUUGUUGAUGAAAGUGAAAGUGGAGGGUGGAAAAGUUGGCUUAAAACUCAACAUUCAGAAAACGAAGAUCAUGGCAUCUGAUUCCAUCACCUCAUGGGAAAUAGAUGGGGAAACAGUGGAAACAGUGUCAGACUUUAUUUUGGGGGGCUCCAAAAUCACUACAGAUUUUGACUGCAGCCAUGAAAUUAAAAGACGCUUACUCCUUGGAAGAAAAGUUAUGACCAACCUAGAUAGCAUAUUCAAAAGCAGAGACAUUACUCUGCCGACUAAGGUCCAUCUAGUCAAGGCUAUUGUUUUUCCAGUGGUCAUGUAUGGAUGUGAGAGGUGGACUGUGAAGAAGGCUGAGGACCUAAAAAUUGAUGCUUUUGAACUGUGGUGUUGGAGAAGACUCUUGAGAGUCCCUUGGACUGCAAGGAGAUCCAACCAGUCCAUUCUGAAGGAGAUCAGCCCUGGGAUUUCUUUGGAAGGAAUGAUGCUAAAGCUGAAGCUCCAGUACUUUGGCCACCUCAUGGGAAGAGUUGACUCAUUGGAAAAGACUCUGAUGCUGGGAGGGAUAGGGGGCAGGAGGAGAAGGGGACGACCAAGGAUGAGAUGGCUGGAUGGCAUCACUGACUCAAUGGAUGUGAGUGUGAGUGAACUCCAGGAGUUGGUGAUGGAUAGGGAGGCCUGGCGUGCUGUGAUUAAUGCGGUUGCAAAGAGUCGGACAUGA
rnacentral:lncRNA from 1 species